GGCACUGUAGCUCAGUGGUAGAGUGCUUGCCUUGCACAUAUGAAGCAUUGGGUUCAAAACUCAGUGCCA
rnacentral:tRNA from 1 species